GUUUUGCUUCCAAAGUACAUAUACCAAAAUUGGAACGAUAGAAAGAAGAUUAGCAUGGCCCCUGUGCAAGGAUACGACGCAAAAUUGUGAAGCGUUCUACGUUUUA